AAUCAACGCUGGCGGCGUGCCUCAGACAUGCAAGUCGAACGCGAAAGUUCCCUUCGGGGAGCAAGUAGAGUGGCGCACGGGUGAGUAACACGUAGGUAAUCUACCUUUGGAUGGGGAAUAACAACCGGAAACGGUUGCUAAUACCGCAUAAUGCAGCGGCACCUAAUGGUGACAGUUGUUAAAGCGGGGGAUCGCAAGACCUCGCGUCUGAAGAGGAGCCUGCGGCGGAUUAGCUAGUUGGUAAGGUAACGGCUUACCAAGGCGAUGAUCCGUAGCCGGCCUGAGAGGGCGGUCGGCCACACUGACACUGACAUACGGGUCAGACUCCUACGGGAGGCAGCAGUCGGGAAUUUUGGGCAAUGGGCGAAAGCCUGACCCAGCAACGCCGCGUGAAGGAUGAAAUCCCUCGGGAUGUAAACUUCGCAAGAACAGGAAGAAUAAGUCUGUGCUAAUACCACAAAUGAUGACGGUACUGUUUGUAAGCUCCGGCUAACUCCGUGCCAGCAGCCGCUGUAAAAC
rnacentral:rRNA from 1 species